rnacentral:rRNA from 1 species
CUUGCCGCCGGCGACCGGCGCACGGGUGAGUAACACGUAUGCAACCUGGCCGUGACAGAUGGAUAACCGGGAGAAAUCCCGCCUAAUACAACAUAAUGCCGGGAGGGGACAUCCCCUGCCGGCCAAAGGGGGCGACCCCGGUCACGGAUGGGCAUGCGGCGCAUUAGGUAGUUGGUGGGGCAACGGCCCACCAAGCCGACGAUGCGUAGGGGUUCUGAGGGGAAGGUCCCCCACAUUGGAACUGAGACACGGUCCAAACUCCUACGGAAGGCAGCAG